GUCCCCUUCGUCUAGAGGCCCAGGACACCGCCCUUUCAACGCUGGUACCGGGGUUCGACUCCCCUAGGUGACGCAA
rnacentral:tRNA from 1 species